UGCCAGACUCCUACGGGAGGCAGCAGUGGGGAAUAUUGCGCAAUGGACGAAAGUCUGACGCAGCGACGCCGCGUGAGGGAUGAAGGUUUUCGGAUCGUAAACCUCUGUCAGGAGGGAAGAAAGCGCAUGGCGCCAAUCAGCCAUGCGUUGACGGUACCUCCAAAGGAAGCGCCGGCUAACUCCGUGCCAGCAGCCGCGGUAAUACGGAGGGCGCGAGCGUUAAUCGGAAUUACUGGGCGUAAAGCGCUCGUAGGCGGUAUGUCAAGUCAAGGGUGAAAUCCCCGCGCUCAACGUGGGAACUGCCUUUGAAACUGGCAAACUGGAGUGUGUGAGAGGAUAGUGGAAUUCCAGGUGUAGGAGUGAAAUCCGUAGAUAUCUGGAGGAACAUCAGUGGCGAAGGCGACUAUCUGGCACAUAACUGACGCUGAGGAGCGAAAGCGUGGGUAGCAAACAGGAUUAGAUACCCCAGUACCA
rnacentral:rRNA from 1 species